CCCACAGUCUGGCUGGAUGUCAGAAAGUUCCAGCUGUCUCAACAUGUCUGGAUUUGGGAGCUGCACUGGAGAACUGCGUGAUGUACGAUAGUGCAGUCUCUGAAGCAGGACCCGUUGGCCCAGAAACAAAGACUCGCCUACAAACUGGAGCAGCUCAUUGCUGACAUGGAUCAUGAGAGCUGAUCUGAGAUCCCCGACCCUACCCCACCCCAUCCCACCUCCCCCCCAAAAAAUGGACAAAAAUCAUCAACUGAUCAACUGAGAAUGAACUGAAGUGAGAUUACAAGUCGGACGAGUCACGGUGACGAGUGGUUAACCUUCCAGCUUGAUUUCGAAGGCUUCAGUGCGUCACGGUAUCCUCUCACGUCCUCACUUUUUUAAAAAGAGACAUUAAAUACCAUGAAACUAAAUCUCGACCUAGCUUUUUGUGCUAGCAUUUACCACAGCAGCGUAACUGUAAUAAAACUAACGGUGUAAAUAUUUUAGAUUUCCUCAUCGCAGCUACGUGACUCCAGCCUACAGAACACAGAGGCUCUCCUGAGGAAAAGACAGAUAGAUGUUAUUAGAUAAACAGCGCCAUCUACUGCAUGAAGUGAGAAGUUCUGCACCAGUUCUCAACUUUGAGCUAGAAAACAAAUACAAAAAAAUACAAAAUUUUUUUUUUUUAAAUUUAAAAAAUGAUAGCCUCAUUAAAAUUUCAGACUUAUUACAUUCUUACACUUUCAUAUACACGUUUGCUAAUAAAGGGGGGUGCGGAGGUUUUGGGUUUUACAUUAUGCAUGAGAGAAAUAUGCUUGUUAUUUAUUACUCCAAGCUCAUAAACAUUUUUAUUAGCUUUGAUGUGACUCGUGUCUGUAGCGGAUGUAAAACUGGAGCGCUGAAGAGAAAUGACUUUCACAGUGGACCGAUUUUAAUUACACCGGUAAAAAAGCUCUGUGUACUGUACGUGGACCAAGAAUUUAGCUAGGGCCGAACGUCAUGUCUUUCCAAAUAAAAUGCAGGUUUGUGUGUAUGAAAGUGGGUGUUGUUUACAGAAUGUGCGUCCACCGUGACAUGUCCUUUCUCAAGAGGGUUUUGUGCGAUUACUACUUAUAUUAAUAUAGGUCGUCUCUUAUACUUGAAAGAAGCGAACGUUAGCGUCGUUUGUUUUCCGUCACUGUACUGAUGAGCUUCCAGAGUCUUUGUGUACACACGUUCCCUUUCUUACACGCGUGACGGUCACGUGUCCGUGCUGGUUGAUGACGUGUUCCAGAUACAGGGAUUUUGCAACAAACCUGAUUUGUACGAUGUCAAAUUGGAGCUGUAUAAAAAACUUCAGUGUGAUAUUUUAGUCUAUCGAUCAUGAUUCUGAAGUUCACAGGUUUGGCUCCUGACCUCAUCAAUAAUUCAGAUGAUUAUCUUUUUUGUGUGUUUAACCCUAAACAUUUCAUUGUGCUCCCUCGUGUUUCUGCAGGUUAUAAUUUAUUUCUUAUUCUCGUCUGGUUUAAUGUCUUGUCCGUGUGUUUCUUCAUGGCGGUGAGUAAAACCAGUAUCGUCAGUUCACGGUGUAACACACAACCCUGUUUUACGACUUUAGUAAAAAUGUGACUGUAUUUUAUUCAUUUAUUUCAUGUUUUUUUUUUUUUUACAGCUCGAUUUAUUGUGUAUUCAAAGUGUAAAUAGUAAACAUUCCUAUUUUGCAAUUAUCCCCCACACUUUUUUUUAAACAGUUGUAACAAAUUAAAUAAAAUCAACUAAUCAAAGCGUCAGUAUAUGUUAAUCUCUGAUGUUACCAUUGGUGUUACUUGCCAGUCAUUUACCGAGCUGUUAAUUAAUACCCAGCAAUUGUUAGAAACUCUAUAUAAUCUAAUAGUGAUCUAAAAGUUAUUAACAAAAGUUUGAUGGAGUUUCUUUAGUGUGGAAACAUUGUGCAGCUCAUAGACCCGAAUGAAGGGGACAGGUAAAGGGUAAAACUCCAGGAGCCAGAGAGAUGAAAAGAGCUGAAGCUACAGAGGUUCGUCCAUACUUUACAUACCAAGAGCUGUCCACUUGCAUGUAAUGUUUUGUGAAACUGUUCAUGCAGGCUCUGAUGGUGACUCAGACGGUGGAUGAUGGGAAGCUGAAUCCUGUGAAGCAGUGAAAUGUAGAAAAUGCAUGCAUGUUUGUCCAAUGCCACUGUAAUAAGAUCUGGUUUGUUUGUGUGUGAGUUCAGCUUUAUUCAUAUUAUACUGAAUUCAGUGUUGAUUGUACAGAAGCGAUCACAGUUUGCGAACCACGAUAUUGUUAAACAGUUAAGAGGUCUGCCUUCUCAUAAACCAGUACACGCAAAACAUUCAGGGUUUUUAUUUUUAUUUCUUAACUUUAUUCUAAACUUCACACCCUGCCUUCACUUCAUCGAGCGACUGUCACUUGAAGUUUUUAUUUAUUCUGUGGACGGUUGGAGAAGGAAUGGAAGAACGAACUGUAGUAGUCACAAUGCAUAUCGUCUCCUGUAUAAUUAAUAAUCACAGGGUUUCAGAUGUAUCUUAAUACUGUAAUAAAUCCC
ensembl:lncRNA